ACUGCAGGCAAUAGGAGCUGCAGGGGUGGCGCCUGUGGGCAUGGGCAACUCAUACCACACACUGCACAGAGCCACCUGGCUGCGCCUAGGAGCUGGACAUGUUGGCUGCUUCUGGGAGCUGCGUGGAGCCAGGGCAGGCAUGGAGCCUGCCUUAGCCCUGCUGCACUGCUGACCGGGAGCCGCCUAAGGGUCAACAUUUUAAAGCUUCAUUGUUCUACCCUCCAUAGAAGAGCAAAGGACGACUCCUUUCAAAGCAUCAGUAAGCAGAUGGGAAAUAAGAUCUGUAGCCAGAAAGGUCCAUGGUAAGAUUCACUCAAGUAAAACAGAUGCAUUAGAGCUUACAAAACAGAAGGUGAACCCUAAAAGAUCAGGAGGAUAGAGUUAACGCUCAAAAUUCUGACUGACCUUCCACUCCUAACUGCUCCCUUCCUGUCUUCACAAGAAGUGCAGCAUGCUGGUUUCUGUCUCUUGCCUGGUCUAUCCAGUAGCCAUUUGGUCUAAAGCCUGUGGCACUUCCUGCUCACCAGAACAUCAAAUGCAAGAUCUAUUCUUGCUGCAGGUCAUGAUGGGCUGCAGCUGCAAGGAGCUUUGAGUCUUAAUUCUUCACUCUUAAAUUCUUUGUUACUACUACAUGUGGCCAUUAGGAGUUAUGACUCUUCCUCUUUUAAGUCUAGGAAUUUAUCCCUAGAAGUGGUCAAGCAGCAGCAUACCCAUGUUUGGGAAGGAUCUGCAGAAGCUUCAUAUUAGUUGCCUCUAACUAAAGUGUAAAUGGUUUGGACUACAUUGCUGAAAGUGGGCUUGGGUCUGGGAAACUGGGGUACCCAGAACGAACUGACAAGAGGCUUAGCAUCGGGGCAUCAGAAGAUCCUGAAAAUGAGGGAAAACAACUUACCUGCUGACUUGCAGUUACUACAGUUAUGAAAGACUUUAAACAAAACUUGCUCUGAACUCUCUCCCUGUGUAUAUCCAACAAUUUUUUUCCAUCUUUCACUUAAAAUGUAAACCAGGGGUCAGCAACCUUUCAGAAGAGGUGUGCCGAGUCUUCAUUUAUUCACUCUAAUUUAAGGUUUCACGUGCCAGUAAUACAUUUUAAUGUUUUUAGAAGGUCUCUUUCUAUAAGUCUAUAAUAUAUAACUAAACUAUUGUUGUAUGUAAAGUAAG